GGUGAAUACUGUGCUGAAGCCAGGAUCUUGUCCUCCCUGGGAAGAAGAAACAAGAUGGCUGCCUUCCCAGUGUCCCCAGAGUGGUUGGUGACAACUCAAUAAUGACUCUUCCUUAAUGGUAUGAAGAGAGGAAUUGUAAGAUUAUGAGGAAACUUGCCACAAUCAUCCAAGAAUUUAAAAUAUCCAUUUGAAGUCUGGGAAGUGGAGCCAGGAAGCACGUUUUGGAUGGGCACUCCUGGAAGAGAGCAUCUCUGUGUGCCUAGAAGGAGAAGAGCUUUGCAAUUCUUUUUUAUGAACCAUGUGACGAAGAUGUACCAAGAACUGCUUCUAUCAGUGAAGGAGACAGCCUGGUUUCAGAGGAAAUGCAUUUACAGUGAUUCUUUGCUUUUAGACAUUCAGCAAAAGAGUGCUGUGACGAGAACUGGGCAGAACAUCAGCUCAUCAGAAGCAGUGACAUCCAAGAGCCCAGAGGAGCCUGAAGAACAAUUGAGAGAAGCCUCCUUUGCCAACGCGUUGCCCACCAGGGCUGCACGUGGUACCCUUGCUCCAAGAUGCUUCCCAAAAACACCAGGACCAGGCAGUUAAAUGGCACUUGUACCAGCUCGGUGGACAUGGAGCUCUUCCUUCAUUAUUCCCUCAUCCCAUCACUCUUCAUCAUGUUGAUCUUGUCCUUCCUUCAAAGAUGAGAGCAUUGUAGACAGAGAGAUGAUACCUCUUACCUGCUGGGGAACUGCUUUGGCAUUAUCAUGCCUCUGGACUUCGUGGGCACUUUCAGUAACCGAUGGUCCUAUGGAAUCACCUUUGGGGCCACAGCUAAUAAGGUCAUGUUUUUGUUCUCAGAAGGCUACCAGCCCCUGCAGAUCCCGCAGUGGGCCCAAGCCUUUGAGCUUCUGAUUGGAGGCAUUGAAGUCGGCCUGUCCCACUUCCCCUUCUUUGCCUGCCUCUCGUCGGAAUUCCAGCUGGUCAGCUCCAUCUUGGGCUUCUGCUACUCUGAUCUGGUUUGCUGUCACCAUUAUUCAAGUUUCACAGUGUCCCCACGGGCAGUGGUGCCCAAACAGAAACAUGGGGCAAUUCCACGCAGGGUCCAUGGAGGGAGCAGAAAGCAGCCGCAAUGAAGAGCCACGGUGGGGAUGAAAUCUGGCCCAACAGUGAAGCUAGAAGCAGGUGCUGCUUACCACUCACCAAAACACAGGUCACCAAGAGACAACCCCUAACCCCCAAGCUAGGGAUGGUGCAAGCUCUGGCAUGAGAUUUUCUUCUAGCAACGUGAUGCUUACAGGGACAGGUAGAAAAGCUGGUGAUCAGGCCUGCUGUCCUCCGGGUAAAGACAGUGGGCCACCCACGCUCUGAGAGGCCGGUGGUGCC
rnacentral:lncRNA from 1 species